GUUAUGGUUCCCGUCGAUAGUGGUGUUUUUUUUAGGUGAGUUUUUACUUUUAAGCCCACCUCAUUUUACUUUCAAAUCCAUAUAUAAUCUGUUACCAUCGUACAGUUGUGUAUCACGUUACGUACAAAUCUAUCAAUUCUCUAAUAUAAAUAUCCCCGUACUUUAAAGUAACUUCCUUUUUAUUAACUUGGGUUAAAUUUAUUGGAUAUAUUUAUGAAGAUUUUUUUCCGAAGGUUUGUUUGUGAUUCUUAACGAGAUAAGAAGUCCAGCGUUCAUAAGACUUUAUGUUAACUUAGUCUUGAGAUUUUUAAAAUCAUUACAACUUCUGUUUUACAACUAGACUUUUACACGGUUAAACCAAUAAGUCUUUAACACAAGGAUGUUAUCGUCGUAUGUAUCUACUUAUCGUGCUAUCGUAGGAAUAAGUCCAAUGUAAUAAGUCUUUAGAGAGUGGUGGUUAAUGAGCGAAGUCUAACAACAGUUCGGGUACCUACGGCGACUACGAACUUUGUUUGUCUAUAUCAUCGGUACAGACGUUCUACCGUACAACUUGAUUUUACGCCUAUUUCGUUUUUUUCUAAUACUAUACAACUCACUUGAGUUUUAUUUAUUAUUAUUUCGGUUCCGUGUAUUUUUAUCUACCAACAUAGUGUUUCAUACUGGGUUCUACUCCGUUAUCUUUUUAAUUGCAGGUCCGUUAUAUUUGGGGCCCUUCUCUUUGAAUCGAAUGGAUUUUCUUUUCAAUUCGUGUACUUAAAUGGUUCUACUUUAAACCUCGAUACUGGUAAUCGUUUUAGACAUAUGUAAUCUUUAAAGUGUGUAAGUACAACCGUGUUCGAUGCUAUCGUUAUUAAAUAUCCGUGACCUCGUACGACUAUUUUUAAUUUUCAUCAUGCCAUCUUGUUUCCAUUCCUGCAUUCCACUUAUUAAAAAUCUUCUUUACCAAGCCACGUUUCCAGUAUAAUCAGGUAACUCAUUGACGUAAUUGUUGGAGGUCUAAGAUAGUCAGUACCUGAUUGUUGUUAUUAUUGUGGGUGACCCGUCACCGAUCUAUUCAUUCUUCUCCGUUUGGACUUUCUCACAGCGCCUCGGUGCCCCUACAGGAACCUUCUUGACCAACAACCCUCGUAGGUAGGUUAGUGUUUGAAGGAUAAUUAACUAUUUCGAAAGUGGAGACAUGCAUCCGGUAUAAGUGAACGUCACCAUUUUUUGUCUACUUUGUUCAUUCGUGUAAGAUUAGAUGUCAUGAGUGUAAUGUCAGGUGACAAAUUUCGGGAGUUGAAACUGUCCUUUGUUGAUUAAGGUCAUUCGUGUAAAACUUAUAAAUUUUUCAAUAUUUACCUAUAUUUUCUUUGACGUUUAAUCCACUGUUUAUUCUUUUUACAAUGUACGGUAGCUGUGUAGAGUACGAGAUAUAACACAGUAAAGUAAUGGUUACAACCGAUGUCUUGUUCUUUUUUUGUCUCUUUAACUUUUACUAUAUACAAGUUUCCUCUACUCAUUAUGUCAGAUAUUAAGAUAUAGUACAGGUUAAAACAGUAUAUACGUACUUCGUAUUCAGAUUUGGGGUUGAAGUCAACGGGUUUUCAUUAGAUUUAAACUCAAAACAGUGCUGUUCUUAAUAUCAUGGAGAAUAUAGUCUAGUUUCUAUUUAUUCAAGAUAUGAGUGACCAUUUGACAACUUCUACGUAAUUACUUUUUGUUUUUAAUUAAACGUCCCAAUAUUAUGUCACUAUCUUAUUUCAAAAAAACUCGUCUUGACGUACUUAUGUGUGGUGUGGAGGAGAUUGAAGGUUCACUAAAGGUCCGAACGGGGGUUGAGUCGACUGUCGUAUACACUUAGAAACCCUUUUAUGGUAUGUAUUUGUGCUUUUUAUCAUGGUACUAACCGUUACGUUCGGCAUGUAUACUUAAACGAUCCGGUUAUUUGUUCAUACCUUUCAUUUACUAUAACGUUUGUUUAAAGUUGUAGCUAAGAGGUGCUUGUAGCAGAAGUGUUUGAAGUGUUUGGAUUUGUAAAUGUUGACUACACAGAUCUAAACAAAUGAUGUUUAUUAUAUGGGUAAGGAGCAAUAGAAAUAUAUUGAAAGAUUACGAAAGAAAGUCACAUUGUUGAUUGUGUAUCAUUUAAAUGAUGGGGGCAGGCGGAGGAACACGGAUGAGGAAGACGUAGAGGUCCGAUGGUUUAAACUACAUCUUUUAGUUGACGUUCCAAGGUUGAGGGAAGAAGUCUUAUAUAAACCGGUCUUAGAUAGAUCGAGGAUCCGUACCAAAGAAAACCAUCUAUAAACAGUGAAAAUUGGAAAAUGUAUACAUAUGUACCAUAUAGUAACCUGUAUCAUAUUGCUAUAAGUGGUUUCUAUGCACAAUUACAAGAAUUGAGAGAAGGAAGAUUGACCGUAUUACACUCUUUUACACGUACCAAGUCUUUUCACUAAGAAGGGACCCUUUGAAAUGAGGUAUAGAUUUUGGUUGUAGUCACAAGGUUAUGUAACUCAUAGUAAAGAAUGAAUAUAGUAAGACACUACAUUCGAAAAGUUAAUGAUAUACAGUCAUGUCAGAAGCAAGACUUGGUACAGGUCCUUUUUAGGUUGCGGAACCUAUCGAAUCUUGAACUCAUUUAGUAAGUGUGACAUACCCUACGGAACAUAGAGACCGACCUGCAAAUUAAUUAGACUCCAGGAAAGGGUUUUGUUUUUCCUCUAUCGUCGGUAGUGCCUCUCCUCCCUACAUCAAGUCGGUUUAUUCAAUCGUAAGAAAGAAUCAAGUCUAUUUGUACGAGAUCAGAACUUGCUGUAAUCGAUUCUUCUUCAUCAUAUCGUUUCUUUUGUACCCGUUAGUUGCAUCGAAGAAGUCCACUAUGCUUCAUCCAUAUCUAUUAUCGUUCUAGACACGGAGAUUAAAAAAAUCGUUCCAGCCUGCACACCUCAUUUAAUAGUUCGUGUAUUGACUUGUAUAUAUAUUGUUUUUAUCGUUCUGGCCUGCAAACCCCACUUAAUCGUUCGUGUUUUGACUUGUAUUUAUAAAAGAGGAAUAAUUACUACUAACGAAUGCCCUUUCCUAUACGGACAGGAGCUGCGAGUUUAACCACUCCCUAAGCAACGUCUUUCUCUAGGGGAACGCACAGCACCCUUCGCACAUCGCCUGCGUGCAACACCCCUCCGUCUCGGCUGCGCGUGGCCGUUGCCGGUCCCCGCCUCCCCCCGACGAGUGCGAGCGCCGCCGCCUCUUCUCCUGGCCGACCUCCGCCUGCCGCCGGCCGCCGUCUCCUACCCGCCCGCCGUCGCCUCCUACCUCGGGGCCGGCACCUCGCCGCCGCCUCCUCCCGCUCCUACCCGCCCACUGCCUUCCGCCGUCUCCGGGCCGGCACCUCCGCCGUUUGCCGCCGUCUCCGAACCGGCACCUACCCGCCCGCCGCCGGCUGCCGCUUCCGGGCUGGUACUAGACCAACAACCCUCCUCCUCCACGCCCCACACCCUUUCCAGUAGCACACCCCCAAGCACGCACGCACGCC
rnacentral:rRNA from 1 species